UUAAUCCUAAUCUGUCUGAAGCAAAGAAACGGCCGUCGUCUUCCUUGUCGUGCGACGCCGACGAAUGCCGUUUCAGCCUGAAGAUAGCGAGGCAGCUGCAAGAUUUUUUAGGGUUCUUCUCCCACAAUUAAACGAACAGACUUCUUCUUCGAUCUCUGAUACAACUAUGGAGUUUCGAUAUCUUCAAUCCACGUGAGAACUGCUUUGUGAAUCUUCGACCUGAGGUUAUGUCUUUUUCCUUUCCCUUCUGACCUUCUCCUUCUUCACAACUAUCCACGUUUGUUUCUAGGGUUCAUCGUCCUCUACAGCAAGCUCUGAUACGGCCAACCAACAAUAGAGAGGGAGAGGCUGUAUGAGAUGAGUGUUAGUGAGGAAUCUCUGCGUGGAUCUCAGUUAAUGUUAGAUUCAUCUUGCUCACCAUGGUCACUCUCUCUUCUUCUCUGAAUCUGCUUCUGCUUCAUAUGCGGCAUUGAUACAUAAUCUUUCACAUUAAAUAUUGAAAUGCUUAGUAUCUGUGGUUUGGAUAUUGAGUUCUGAAUUUUGGAGACCUUAUGUAAUUGGAAUUGAAGCUCCUUCUUCAUGUUCUGUCAUCAUCUUUACUGCAAGAGGGUGGCACAUAUCAUAGAUUCAAUCAUUAUGCUUACCUUGACAUUUCUUGGUCUUGUUUCUUCAAUUUAUGGGAUGCAGAUCAUUGUUUACACGUUAGUAAAAACUUUGAAACGUUCUUUAUGCGCUUUCAUAAGUAAGAACUAUCUGGAUCUUUUCCGCUUCUGCAGGCAUGUGAUUUUUGGAUGGAUUUUGGUGAUGUUACAUUCAUCUUGAGCGGAAGACUCCUUCUGCUACAGAAGUAUAUCUCAUGACAGUUCAUUAGCUUCUUCUUUCAUUGAAAAACUUUAAUGUGCUUCUUUGAGCAUUAGUGCAACUACAGACACAUGUGUAGCAUACCAGGAGUUUGUUAAUAUUUGCUUAGGAGAUGGUCUAUGAGAAGUGGUCAGGUCCUGGGAGUUGAUGGGGAGAAAUCAGCUGUCCAGGUAUGCCAUGUCCAAGAAUUGGUAAAUCUGCUCAUGUCUAUCACCAUUGGUGAUGGAGAAAAAUUGAAGCAUCAACACCACUGCAAAAAAGCAGAGUCAGCAGAAGCCGAAGCAAAAGCAGCUCAAGCUCACGCUGAAAAAGCUUCAAAAACACUGAGAGGAUGAAACAUCUGCAAAAUGAGGAGGAAGAAGAAUGUGUUGCAGGUGAAGAAGAAAAAAUGUGUUGCAGGUGAAUAGAGAGAAGCGUAGAAGUAGUGUCUGUUGUUGAUUCUCUUCUUGGAAACUCUUUUUAGUUGUAAGCAUAAUCUCAAAUGCUAGAACUCUUUCUAUCUGUAACAAGUAAUUCUUUAGCUGGAGAAUUUUUGCAGAUUAAAUAUGUGUUAUAUUUGUGAAAUUGGAAAGA